rnacentral:tRNA from 1 species
AGGGACUUAGGUUAAUAAGACCAAAGGCCUUCAAAGCCUUCAGCAGGAGUCAAACUCUUCUAGUCCCUG